rnacentral:rRNA from 1 species
AACGAACGCUGGCGGCAUGCCUAACACAUGCCAGUCGAACGAGACCUUCGGGUCUAGUGGCGCACGGGUGCGUAACGCGUGGGAACCUGCCCUUAGGUUCGGAAUAACUCCCCGAAAGGGGUGCUAAUACCGGAUAAUGUCUUCGGACCAAAGAUUUAUCGCCUUUGGAUGGGCCCGCGUUGGAUUAGCUAGUUGGUAGGGUAAAAGCCUACCAAGGCGACGAUCCAUAGCUGGUCUGAGAGGAUGAUCAGCCACACUGGGACUGAGACACGGCCCAGACUCCUACGGGAGGCAGCAGUGGGGAAUAUUGGACAAUGGGCGAAAGCCUGAUCCAGCAAUGCCGCGUGAGUGAUGAAGGCCUUAGGGUUGCAAAGCUCUUUUACCCGGGAUGAUAAUGACAGUACCGGGAGAAUAAGCUCCGGCUAACUCCGUG